rnacentral:rRNA from 1 species
AGAGUUUGAUCCUGGCUCAGAACGAACGCUGGCGGCAUGCCUAACACAUGCAAGUCGAACGCUCCUGAUGGUUUCGGCUGUUGGGGGAGUGGCGCACGGGUGAGUAGCGCGUGGGAACCUGCCUUUCAGUGGGGGAUAACCGCGGGAAACUGCGGCUAAUACCGCAUACGUCCCGGUUGAGAGCCGGGGGAAAGAUUUUA